GCUGAGGAUGUAGCUCAGUGGUACAGUGCUUGCCUAACAUGUAGGAGGCUCUAAGUUCAAUCCCCAGCAACAAGCA
rnacentral:tRNA from 1 species